rnacentral:rRNA from 1 species
UACGUAGGGGGCAAGCGUUGUCCGGAAUCAUUGGGCGUAAAGCGCGUGUAGGCGGUUCGGUAAGUCUGCUGUGAAAGUCCAGGGCUCAACCCCUGGGAUGCCGGUGGAUACUGUCGGACUAGAGUACGGAAGAGGCGAGUGGAAUUCCCGGUGUAGCGGUGAAAUGCGCAGAUAUCGGGAGGAACACCAAUUGCGAAGGCAGCUCGCUGGGACGUUACUGACGCUGAGACGCGAAAGCGUGGGGAGCAAACAGGG